GACAGAAGAGGGGUGGCUCCUCAGGGGGAGGCCCAGCCCACCCAGACCCCGAGCUCCCAGGCCUGAGAGCGGGGCCGCGUGGGGGUUGGGGGCCGAGGGGUCCCCUCUGGGGUGGGAUGGGCGAGCCCCCGGCCCCACGCGCGGAGCACGCACCUCGCCUGGACAACCGACUGGCACGCGGCCUCGCCUCCUCUGCUCUGUGACCUCAGGACUCCUGCCUCAGACCAAGGCCUCAACUGCAGAGCUCGCAGAGCCCCUGGAAGAGGGAGGGAUGGAGGGAGGGAGGGGGGGAAGGAGGGGGCGCCUCAGGGUCUCAGGGUGGGUGCAGACCGCGAGCACCGCCCCGGGCCCCCACCCCCCACUGCGGCCAGGAGAUUCUGGCCAGGACUCUGGGCGGCCCCGCCCCGGGAGCCCCCACCCCCCACCCCCCAUCCAGCCUGGGCCUGCCCCUUCCGGGCCUCCCCUGACAGCCAGAGCGGACCCGAGCGGCAGGGCAGGCCUGGGCCCUACGCAGGUGUCCUGGGCUGGGAGGCAGCGCCUCCUCUCUCCCCUGCACCCCGGCCAGGGCCCGGGAUCCUGCCUCGGCUGACCGGGGUCCAGCCCCGCACACCAAGGCCCUCCCCUCGCCCAGACCCACCGCGGGGGCGGCUUUCCGAGGGCGGCCCCGGGGCUGGGGUCCAAGGGGCCUCCGGCCGUCCUCCCGCAGGGCUCUCCCGGGGAGCCCCGGGCCCGCUGCCUCCCACCAGAGCCCUCACGGCCCGGCGAGGUCCGGGCCAAGGCGGCUGGCGUCGCACGAGGCGACCAAGUCCGGGGAGGCCCGGGGCCGAUGGCGGGGGGCUCACGUGGCUUCCUUGGGGUCCGUCAGCCCUAUCCUCUCGUCCCCAUCCGGACUCCCUGGGCGGCCUGGGCCUCGGGCUCUGCCGCCUGACGCCGGCUCCUCGCGCGCAACCAGCUCUCAGUCGGGCUGGGACCCAGAGCCCGAGUCCGCCCACGCCGCACGCCCUGGUCACAGUCGUCGUGGUCGCGCCACCCUGCAGCCUCCACCGCCGCACUCAUUCCCCUCUGGGUCCCGGCUCCCUCGCUCCUCCCUCUGGGUCUCACCUCGAAGCCCACGAGGCUCUGCGCCCUUCCCGCGCCUGACGGGAUUCGAGGCGCGGCCGGAAGACGCCGACGCCCACGCCGACGCCGAGGCCCCCUCGCCACGCCCCGCCCCGCCGGUCUCUUGAGACCCGGAUGCGGAAGUCCAGACACCCCGCGGGGCCUCGUUCCACUAGGCGCUUCCCUAGGCUGCCGCUAGGGGUCGCCUUCCGGGCCGGGGCCGGGGCCUGGGUUCUGGGGGGCCAGAGUCCCUCCCUCGGUGUUCCCUCCGUGGC
rnacentral:lncRNA from 1 species